AAUUUAUACCGCUGCCUGCUCCUCAUUACAAGCCCGACGGUCCUGUUGGGGGCUGGCAGAGAGCUGUUGUUUACCUUCACAGCAGCUCCAGGCAGCUCCCUUCUCUCUCUUCGGUCAGCUCCCUUCUCCUCCAGUGUAAGGAGAAGGGAGCUGACCGAGGAGAGAGAAGGGAGCUGACAGGAGCUGCCGUGAAGGUAAGUAACAGCUCUCUGCCAGCCCCCAACAGGACCGCCGGGCUUGUA